GAUGAACGCUGGCGGCGUGCCUAAUACAUGCAAGUAGAGCGCACGGACGAGAAGCUUGCUCCUCUGAUGUUAGCGGCGGACGGGUGAGUAACACGUGGAUAACCUACCUAUAAGACGGGGAUAACUUCGGGAAACCGGAGCUAAUACCGGAUGAUAUUUUGAACUGCAUGGUUAAAAAGUGAAAGACGGUCUUGCAGUACUAUAUAAAUGGAUCCGCGUUGCAUUAGCUAGUUGGUAAGUUAACGGCUUACAAAGGCAACGAUGCAUGGCCGACCUGAGAGGGUGAUCGGCCACACUGGAACUGAGACACGGUCCAGACUCCUACGGGAGGCAGCAGUAGGGAAUCUUCCGCAAUGGGCGAAAGCCUGACGGAGCAACGCCGCGUGAGUGAUGAAGGUCUUCGGAUCGUAAAACUCUGUUAUUAGGGAAGAACAUAUGUGUAAGUAACUGUGCACAUCUUGACGGUACCUUAUCAGAAAGCCACGGCUAACUACGUG
rnacentral:rRNA from 1 species